rnacentral:lncRNA from 1 species
UUUUUUCAAGUAUUCCAUAAUCUUGAUUCAUAUUAAAAUAUUUUACAUAAAUACAUGAAGUCUUCAAAUGGUUAAAAUCACAAUAAAGCAAAAUUAUAAAAAAUAAGAUUACAAAUAGCCCUUUGAACAUUGGCUUCCUUGAAAAAUGUAACUCACCACUUUUCUUCAAUUUUAUUACAAGAAAAUGAAGCUCUUACAACUCAAAAGAAAUUAAACGAGGAACUACAAAAUUAAAGAACUACGUUCCAUAAUCUUGAUUCAUAUUAAAAUAUUCUACUGCAAUACGUGAAGUCUUCAAAUGGUUCAAAUCACAAUAAAGCAAAAACAAUUUUAAUAAAAGAGCAUAAAUAAUAAAAAGAAACAAAAAAAAAGGUUACGAAUACCCCUUUGGACAUUGGCUUCCUUGAAAAAUGUAGCACACCACUUUCCGUCAUUUUUAUCACAAGA